rnacentral:rRNA from 1 species
AGACGCUAGCGAUAGGCUUAACACAUGCAAGUCGAGGGGCAUCACGAAUUAGCAAUAGUUUGGUGGCGACCGGCGCACGGGUGCGUAACACGUAUACAACCUACCUUCAAUUGGGGAAUAACCUGGAGAAAUUUGGACUAAUACCCCAUAGUAAACGGAAGAGGCAUCUUUUUUGUUUUAAAGAUUUAUUGAUUGGAGAUGGGUAUGCGUAGGAUUAGCUAGUUGGUAAGGUAACGGCUUACCAAGGCGACGAUCCUUAGGGGUUCUGAGAGGAAGGUCCCCCACACUGGUACUGAGACACGGACCAGACUCCUACGGGAGGCAGCAGUGAGGAAUAUUGGUCAAUGGUCGAGAGACUGAACCAGCCAAGUCGCGUGAAGGAAGACGGCUCUAUGAGUUGUAAACUUCUUUUGUACAGGAGUAAAGUGAGACACGCGUGUUUUAUUGCAAGUACUGUACGAAUAAGCAUCGGCUAACUCCGUGCCAGCAGCCGCGGUAAUACGGAGGAUGCAAGCGUUAUCCGGAUUUAUUGGGUUUAAAGGGUGCGUAGGCGGUAUUACAAGUCAGGGGUGAAAUCUUGGUGCUUAACAUUAAAAUUGCCUUUGAAACUGUGGUACUUGAGUGUAAAAGAGGUAGGCGGAAUGUGUUGUGUAGCGGUGAAAUGCAUAGAUAUAACACAGAACCCCGAUUGCGAAGGCAGCUUACUAUCAUACAACUGACGCUGAUGCACGAAAGCGUGGGGAUCAAACAGGAUUAGAUACCCUGGUAGUCCACGCAGUAAACGAUGAUUACUAGCUGUUAGCGAUAUAUUGUUAGUGGCUAAGCGAAAGCGAUAAGUAAUCCACCUGGGGAGUACGUUCGCAAGAAUGAAACUCAAAGGAAUUGACGGGGGCCCGCACAAGCGGAGGAA